UACAGAGGUCUCAAGCGUUGUUCGGAUUCAUUGGGCGUAAAGGGUGUGUAGGUGGCGCUGUAAGUCGGGUGUGAAAUCUCGGGGCUUAACUCCGAAACUGCAUUCGAUACUGCGGUGCUUGAGGACUGGAGAGGAGACUGGAAUUCAUGGUAUAGCAGUGAAAUGCGUAGAGAUCAUGAGGAAGACCAGUGGCGAAGGCGGGUCUCUGGACAGUUCCUGACACUGAGACACGAAGGCCAGGGGAGCAAACGGG
rnacentral:rRNA from 1 species